GAUGAAGAACGUAGCAAAAUGCGAUAAGUAAUGUGAAUUGCAGAAUUCAGUGAAUCAUCGAAUCUUUGAACGCACAUUGCGCCCCCUGGUAUUCCGGGGGGCAUGCCUGUCCGAGCGUCAUUGCUGCCCUCAAGCACGGCUUGUGUGUUGGGCCCCGUCCUCCGAUCCCGGGGGACGGGCCCGAAAGGCAGCGGCGGCACCGCGUCCGGUCCUCGAGCGUAUGGGGCUUUGUCACCCGCUCUGUAGGCCCGGCCGGCGCUUGCCGAUCAACCCAAAUUUUUAUCCAGGUUGACCUCGGAUCAGGUAGGGAUACCCGCUGAACUUAAGCAUAUCAAUAAGCGGAGGA
rnacentral:misc_RNA from 1 species